rnacentral:rRNA from 1 species
UACGAAGGGGGCUAGCGUUGCUCGGAAUCACUGGGCGUAAAGGGUGCGUAGGUGGCGUCGUAAGUCGGGUGUGAAAUCUCGGGGCUUAACUCCGAAACUGCAUUCGAUACUGCGGUGCUUGAGGACUGGAGAGGAGACUGGAAUUUACGGUGUAGCAGUGAAAUGCGUAGAGAUCGUAAGGAAGACCAGUGGCGAAGGCGGGUCUCUGGAAAGUUCCUGACGCUGAGGAGCGAAAGCUAGGGGAGCAAACGGG